CGAAGGGAAAGGAGCCGGACCCCAUACAUCAGAAUGGACUAAAUCGAAAGGACGCUGAGACACUGACUCACUAUGAGAAUAUGGUAACUGAAUCUGCUUGCCAAGACGACAACCCUGACACUCUAAAGAGACAUCUCCUGAGACAGACCCCAGAAGGCCUCGACGAACUAAAGACGAUAAUCGAGAACCACACAGAUGACCAAGUCGAUGAUGCCACUGCUUGAAGGAGCCAGUAACAGAAGCGACAGCAGCGGAGGAACUGGCGAUGGUGGUGGCAGCGGAAGGAACAUGAAGCCAGUCCAACUCCCAAAGACCCUGAGAAUCACGGCGGCGAGGGCCAGCCCCAACCAGAGUGUGCGUGCGACGAUCCUGGAUAGAACAAGAGUCAACAUCAAGGAUGACACGACAACCAGAAUCAGUAAGUUGACCGGCAGAAAACAGAUUCAUGGUAAGUCGAGGAACAUGAGCAACAUCAGGAACAGAAUAAGGAGUAGAAAGAUGGCCUCUACUAGCAACAGAAAGUGGAGUACCAUCAGCAGUGAAGACAUGAACAGGAGAAUCCAGCGAGCGAAGAGAAGACAAAGCGGAAGAAUGAGAAGACAUAUGAAAAGAAGCUCCAGAGUCCAGAACCCAUGGGGAUGUACCUGACUGUGUAGAGGGCGGGUGCUCAGUGCGGGAAGCAUCAGUCACAGAACCAGCAGUACCCGUCGAGGAAGAACCUGAAGCCGCGAGCAGACGCUUAAGUCUCAGAAUAUCCUGCUCGGUCAAAGCAAUGGCUGAAGCUGGCGGGGGAGAUGACGCAGUCCCUGAUGAUCGCGCCUUGCGCAGGUGUUUCCGCUUGGUGUAGCACUGGGACUCAAUAUGACCAUCAUUCUUGCAGUAGUCACAAUGUGAACGGGGCGACCUGAGCCUCCAGAAGGAGUGGGCAAGAGCGGCGGAGCACUCGAGCGAGAAUGGGGCGGUGCAGCAGGUGGAGUGGAAGAAACCCGAGUAGCAAGCACAGAGGGAACCUCCAGCAAACCAGCACCACGUAGGCGAGUCUCCUCAGCACGAAUCUCUGAAAGCGCCUCCAUGAGAGAAAUACGGCCACGAGCAAGCAACUGAGCACGCCGGGGCUCAAACUCCUUACGAAGCCGAGACAGGAACUCGUAGACGCGAUGAAACUCCAAAUCGGCCUGGAUAGCCUGGCAGCAGGGGCAAGUACGACAACCAGCACUGCGGAGAGAAUCAAGCUGGCGCCAGAUAGCAGAACUCUGUGCAUAAAAGUCAUCAACAGUAGAGUCACCCUGCUGAAGAGCAUGCUCCUACGAACCACAGACAGGUAUAAGGUAUCACCAGAGGGCUCAUAGCGCUGACGAAGACAGGUCCACAUCUGGAAGACAGUAGGAAGACCCAGAAACUCAGAAGCAAACUGAGGCAGAACACUAGCAGUGAGAACAGCGGCAGCACGAGCAUCAUCAUCAAGCCACUGGGUGUAAACAGACAAAGCACCAUGAUAAGUCUGAAGAGCCUCCUCAUAAGCCAGAGCCCUCUCAUCAUAGGCACGAUCAGCAGCCUCAUCAGCAACCUUAGCCGCAUCCUUGGCGGCCUGAUUAGCAUCCGGAGGAAGAACCAGUGGAGUCGGCGGAGUAGGGGCCACCGGAGGAACCGGACGUGGCGGACAGCAGACCUCGCCAGAAAGAACACCCCAGAGACGGAUGCCACGCAUGUGAAUGCGCAUGAAGCCAGCGAACUCGGUGUAGUUAGUACCGUCGAAGAUCACCGGACAGCGAGGGAUAGCGACAAAGCCCGAGGCAGUAGACAUUUUUUUUUUUGCAAAGAUCCGAACGAGGACAACGGCGCAGCAGACCACAGAUGGCAGCCCAGCCGAUCAGGAGGGGAUCGAACUGGCGGGAGGGGCGGACGAUCCGGAGCUGCCCGGGCACCGGGCGGAAGUAGAGGAGCCGGGCGGGGCGACGGGAAGGAGCCGGGCGGGCGCGGGCGGGCGACGAACUGGAGGGCGGGCGACGGCAGCACCUGGCGGGAGGAAGAGGUGCCGGGCGGGCGCUGGCGGCGACGAACUGGAGGGCGGGCGAGGCAGAGUAGCGACGCCGAGACAGAGGAAAAAUCGCGGCGGCGGCAGGACGGGAUCGAGCACGAGUUGCGCGUGCGAAAAAGAGACCUAAAGCUCUAAUACCAUGUUAGGAAUAAGCAACUUGUAUUCCCAUGAGGCCAUAGGCCGAUAUAUAUACAUGUACAGGUGUGGUAUAUAUGCAGGAAACCUCUUAUACUACGGGAUAAAUACGAAGAGGUAUACACGACUAAUACUAUAACUCUAACACUCUGAUCCUCCACCCACGCAUGACAAAGAGGUUCUCUCCCGUGAGGUGCUACACACAAAUGACCCUACAGGUUUCCUUGCUGCGCCUGUCUGCAGCCUCCUCUCCUCCCUCACCCGCUUACACUUUUAUGGCAAUCAUGAGGGGGAGGUGGAGCGCUUCACUAAUGAGCAAGAGGGUGCCCUUCAGCUCCUCACCUCCCUCCGGGACCUCAGGUGUAGCGAGUUGUACAAGCUGCACUGCCUCCCAGCAGGGCUACACAGAGUUUCCAGCCUCGAGACAUUACGGAUUGAGUACGGCCGUGCCUUCAAAUCACUGCCCAAGGAUGGCCUUCCGAGUUCUCUGAAAUAUUUAGAGAUUUGGUGCUGUUCUGCCUUCAAAUCGCCGCCCAAGGACAGCCUACCAAGUUCUCUGACACAUUUAGAGAUCCACGGUUGUUCUGCCUUUGAAUCGCUGCCAAAGGAAGGUCUGCCUUGUUCUCUGCAAACUCUAGAGAUCUGGGACUGCCCUGCCUUCAAAUCGCUGCCAAAGGACAGUCUCCCAAGUUCUCUGGAAAAUGUAGAGAUCUGGGACUGUCCUGCCUUGACAUCGCUACCCAAGGAUGGGCUCCCAAGUUCACUGCGGAAGUUAACAGUCCGGUCUGGCAACAGCAAGGAGCUAAUGAGGCAGUGCCGCAAGUUAAAAGGAACCAUUCCAAUAAUUGACGACUAAUCCAAGGGCUCUUCUCUGUGCAUCCAAGUACAGUUUGAGGUUCCAGUGCAAGCAUGAAGACCCCAGUUUGUAUCUUCAAUCCUGUACAUAAAGUUGGUUAGGAUUUGAAUAAUCACCCCAACUCCAAUAGUUUCAUACGUUGUUUAGAAAUUCAAUCCACACAUUUUUUUUAUGUGUGCUGUUAAUAUAUUUUGAGUUAUUCCAGACUGUCAGUAUUAGAGUUCGAGCAAGAGCGAGAGCAACUAUUAAAAAAAAAUCGAAUCAUCUUCUUUUUUUGUCAUUUUAGUACUUUCUCUUAAUGAUCUUGUAAGAUUUUGAUCCUAAGUAAAGCAAUAAUGCCAGGAUUGUAUGUGCUAAUUUACGAAGUAGUGUCUGACCAGAGGGACAAUUUUGUUUUCAAAAUAAAAAAGGUGUCUACUGCGGGAUAAUUCAUUUCUACA